CGGCCGUCAGAGCAGAGUGCCGGGGGAAGGAAAGGAAGAAGGGGGUUGGUCUGUGCUACCGAGAGGUGAAGAUUGCGACUUGACGAAACCAACUAAACCGCAGAGCAGAGAAACAAUACAGAGGCCACCAACCCUGAUCCCCUCAAGGCCUCAACACCACAAAAUCCGUGAUAAAGGGAAGCUUUUCUGGAUUUCAGCCCACGGACACUGGAAGUCCUUCUCCAAAUCUACAAAGCGUCUAGACUGGUUGGGCAAACACGUGCACCUUCUAGAACCCUGCUGCAAGUGGUGUACAGCUAGUCCAUUGCAUCGGAGGUACAACUUGGCGACAGACCUUCCUCUCCAGAACACUUUAAAGACCUCACCAGAGAGACUGCAGAAUGGGAUCCCCCCCUCUAGCUGAAACAUAUCCUCAGUAACAUCAUCCCAAAUACAUUGCACGUGUGAAAACACGGCGACGUAUAUGCAAAUAAAAGUUGCUAUAUAUGGAUUCAACUGGAAAUUAUUUUUGAAAAAUAUAUCUCAGUUAUGUUACAAAUCAAAUCACAGUCAUUACAGUCCGAGUUCCUUUUAUAAGGAGUCAAGGAUCUGUUCCGCAGCAAAAAUGAGUUUGAGGCCCCUGCAAUGGAGGCACAGAGUAAAGGGGGGGGGGGCAGAGACAAUAUUUAUUCAUCCAAAUAUACCUCUCAACAUUUGUAAUUAUUAUUUUAAAUGUAUUUUAAACCCACUGAAAACAGCCACCCAGUUCGGGGCGUACCCCGCCAGCUGCCCGAAGACAGCUGGGAUAGACUCUGGCAUGCCCACGACCCUCGUGAGGAUAAGCGGUCCAGAUAAUGGAUGGAUGGAUAAAAACAGAGCCUCACACACUUGUGGCCUGCCCCACAAACUCCCAUUUAUUCUCAUCCCCAUCUCCUCUCCUUCCAACCGUAUAUGUAGUCUGUCAAAAUAAUGGGGACGCACAACCCAAUGGCGACGGCCACGCAGGAGUUUAUUUUCUUCUGGCUUGACUCAACAUGAGCCCUUAGCUCAGAGAGCAGAUGCCGACGAAAGCAGAUUCCAACAAGUACGAACCGUCUCGAAUCACCCAGGGCAAAUUCUGUGACCGCGUGACACACAUGUCCCUCUUUUGCAGCCAAUGAAUCACUCGAAGCAGACUCAUUUUCUGCGCGACAUGUCAUUCUUUGCAGCGUGCUAAUCACUCAGCACGGAGGGAGUGGGUGUGGUUAUUCACUGAGUAAUACAGUGCACGUCAUCGUUUCGCAGUAAACAAAUCGAGAGUGACAUUUAGUCAAGUCUCUUCUUCACCGCACACUGGCUACGUCGCCAAAGAUUAAAGAGUCAGCGGCCCCCAUGAGGAGCACCUUUCAGCAUUCCCUCUAAGGACUCUACAACCGGUGGAUAGUCUGAGCUGCUGUUUGGUACAUAAGCAGAAAAAAAAAAACAAUCAGGUCCGGUCUUCUCACCUGAAGAUACAGCAGGCUACACUCUUGUUUUCCAGGGUGAACACACAUGUACGGGCAAUAAGUAUGCACACACCUGCGCUGCACCUCUUACCUCGGGUAAUUCAAUGAUACAAUCGAGUCCAACGCCUCUCAACAGAAUGGGAACCAGCAUGCACGCCGCAUGGCAAGGCGAGCUCGACGACAUCGUGUCGUAACCUCUCAACUUGCCACAGAUGUGACUUUUCACGUACCGAGAGCCGGCUUCUGUAGCCGGGAUUGACCUUCGAGGUCAUCAUCAUGCAUUCCACCUUCUUGGCCCUCGCUACAGGCGGUGGGUUUAUGCAAAGCGGGGACCCAAGUUGUCUCUUUGGGCUGUGCAUGUGAUGGAGCCCGAACUCAAGGCUCGGGCUCGAGAGGUGCGCCCGGCUGGCCCAAAGUCUGGGCGGGCUCAACUACAUCGAGUUGAUCCUCUGUGCACUUGCAUAUUUGUGGGCCCAGACUUGUCUGGUUUAGGGGUUGCAGAAAUCAGGAUUGGAAGGGCCUAUAGCUAAUGCUAAUCUGCUCUCCUGUUGGCGUUCACAUGAUGACCUUCCCUCAGCCUUGCUGUGGAUUUCAAGGGAGGAAAAACUCAGUUUGGGGGCCGUCUUACAGUAUGUGGGACUACAUUAGUUCAAAAUUACACUUGAUUGGUGGUCAGGCACUCCAGAAACCUUACUAAUUGAAUACAAGUAAUUAAAAAUGUGUGAGGUGAGUGGUGCAAUGGAUAACACCCAACUACGGAUCAGAAGAUUCUAGUAGGAUCAACUUAUCGCUAGCUCCAGAAGAUUUACAAAGUUUUGCUUUGCUGAGCAGCUCGUAGGUCUUCAAACCCAGAGGCAACUUUUUUUUUUUUUGGGGGGGGGUGUGCAGUUGUUCGGACUGAUACACUGAUAACUUAAACCCAGGCGCCAAGACUGCCCCGGAUUGUGCCACUGACUGUAUGUUUACUGACCAGAAAGAGCAGAACACGGUACUGUUUUUGGUCUCGCAAUGAGAUCAUUGGAUACGGGCGUACGUCAGUGUCAGAGUAAUGUCGAGAAGAUUUGUUGGACCUUGACAAUUGCUAUAAACACACCGUCUCAAGUGCCAAAAAUCACACCCAAGUUCCGCCUUUCCGUCAUUCCCUUUUACGCAUGGCAGACGGCGCUCCGCCUCUGUUACGGCUCAGAUACAACCCAACCCAUUCAGCACUUCAUACCGACCGGCAACAGGAAAAAAAA